GAUGAACGCUGGCGGCGUGCCUAAUACAUGCAAGUCGAGCGAACAGACGAGGAGCUUGCUCCUUUGACGUUAGCGGCGGACGGGUGAGUAACACGUAGGUAGCCUACCUAUAAGACUGGGAUAACUUCGGGAAACCGGAGCUAAUACCGGAUAAUAUUUCGAACCGCAUGGUUCGAUAGUGAAAGAUGGCUUUGCUAUCACUUAUAGAUGGACCUGCGCCGUAUUAGCUAGUUGGUAAGGUAACGGCUUACCAAGGCAACGAUACGUAGCCGACCUGAGAGGGUGAUCGGCCACACUGGAACUCAGACACGGUCCAGACUCCUACGGGAGGCAGCAGUAGGGAAUCUUCCGCAAUGGGCGAAAGCCUGACGGAGCAACGCCGCGUGAGUGAUGAAGGUCUUCGGAUCGUAAAACUCUGUUAUUAGGGAAGAACAAACGUGUAAGUAACUGUGCACGUCUUGACGGUACCUAAUCAGAAAGCCACGGCUAACUACGUG
rnacentral:rRNA from 1 species